rnacentral:lncRNA from 1 species
AGUUGUGAAAUCAUAAAAUGUCAGCAUCUAACCUUCUAAUGUAGCAAAAGUGAUGUCUCAGUACCUCCAGUCUACGUCAUAAGAAGCCUUAUCAUUUCCACUUGUGUCUCUUGGGAUGCUCUCUCUCAGAAUCCAGGUGCCCUUCCAUGAGAAGCCCAAGCCAUGUGGAGAAGCCACGUCUAGGGACUCCAGUUAACACUCUCAGCUGAGUCCCCAGCUGACAGUCAGCAUCAACUGCCAGCCACCUCUGUCUAAAAGUGGGCUAUCUUGGGCAUCCAGCCCAGUCAAGCCUUCAGAUGAGUCCAGUCCCAGCCACUAUCUCACACAACCACACGAGAGACAUCAAGAACUCCCAGUGGAGUCCAGUCAGCCCAUGGAACUGCAAGAGACAGGAUCUCGCUGCGUUGCUCAGACUGGUCUCGAACUCCUGGGCUUAAGGGAUUCUCCUGCCUCAAUCACAGCCUCCCAAGUAGCUGAGAUUAAAAGUGCUCACCACCGUGCCAGCGAGUUCAGUUUUUGAGGGUGGAGCCAAGACUCUGAGGAGAGGGCUGAACUGUGAACCUAGAAGUACCAUCUCCCCCUGCACACACCUUUGGUCAAGUUGACCCCAAGAAGAAGGACAAGUCCUCUGCACGGCGAUGAGGCCAUACACACAGUCUGUGGCCCGGCUUUGGGAGACUGAUGGGACAAAGGAUGUUUUGCACGAUCCUUGGUCUCUGAGCAAAUAUAUACAUGGGUUAACACAAAGGCUCUCUUUUUGAAAAAUGUGACUGUGAAAGUGUGCCCUCCCAGAUAUUCCAGGCAUAACACAGGAGUGACUGCAUGUUUGGGGACAGUGCGGAGGCCACUCUGAUUAGAUCAGAGGAUGUGGACUGGUUCAUGAUGUAAAAGCUGAAGGGAGGCCGGGCACAGUGGCUCACGCCUGUAAUCCUAGCACUUUGGGAGGCCAAGGUGGGUGGAUCACGAGGUCAGGAGAUCGAGACCAUCCUGGCUAACAAGGUGAAACCCCGUCUCUACUAAAAAUACAAAAAUUAGCCAGGCGUGGUGGCAGGCGCCUGUAGUCCCAGCUACUGGGGAGGCUGAGUACUGGGGAGGCUGAGGCAGGAGAAUGACGUGAACCUGGGAGGCAGAGCUUGCAGUGAGCUGAGAUCGCGCCACUGCACUCCAGCCUGGGCAACAAAGCGAGACGCUGUCUCAAAAAAAAAAAAUGCUGAAGGGAGGGUGGUAAUGAAGGGAAGAAGACUCCAGGGUUUCAAGUGCCAUGGAUUAAGGGAGGGAGUAAAGGCAGAGGGCCAGGACAGAUGGUUGGAUCUGUCUUAGAGGUGAGGUACCUUCAAGAUGCCUCAGGGAAAAUGGCCAGUAGUCCAUCAGGACUCAAGAGUAAGACUCCAGGAAGACACUUGAAAUGGGAAGAGAGCUAAGAAAAUAAUCCACAUAGAGGUGAUCAUUAAAGGCGUAAAGAAUAAAGCAAUAACGUAAAAAAAAAAAAAAAAAAAAAAAAAAAAAGCAAGGACUGAACUUUAGGGAACAAGUAAGUAGGCUUCUUUUGUGUCCCAAAGCCAGAGAACGAGAACAUUUCAAGAAGAGGGGUUAAAUUCAGCCUGAAGAAGGAAGUUGCACAAAAUCUCUGGAUGUGGCUACCGGGAAGGCCUUGGUGAAUUCUGAGCGAGCCGUUCCCACGGAGGGAGCAGUGGAUGGAGGCCAGCUGAGGACUGCCGGGGUAGAGGGUGGGUGGAGCAGCCAAGGGAGACAGGAGAGGGUGGGAGCCAAUGAAACGGAGAGAGGGAGGCUAGGAGAUUUGCAGGCCAACAGCAUCACAUUAAGUUUCUUUUUAACAAGACGAUCCAGUUUUUCAUUAGAGAAAGAAGGAAACUGCAAAUCAGGGGUAUUUAAAGGUCGUGUGAAAAUCACGAAAACCUCAAGUUGAAUCUGUUCCCACCUAAAUAACUUUUGUUUAGAAACCAAGCAAAGCCACUGAAACCAUCUCAGCACAAAUCCCAAAAUGGAAUUAUUCGGAUGUCUCUGAAAUGGUGUAGGUGCCAUGAGCCACUGUGCUAAUAUGCAGUGUGUCCACACAGAGCCCAGGGCCCAGUGGUGUCAGAGACAAAGGCCAGAGCUUCCCAGAAAGUUCCAUAAGGACAGGAAUUCAGGAAGUGGGGUCAAGGGAAGAGCUGCUGUCACUGAAUAUACUGCAGCUUAAGAAAAUGAUCCUGUUUAACCAGCACCUACUAUGGGCUAGGCACUUCACCGACAUUUUUCUCAUCCUGAACAAGACUACGAAGUAUUUUUUCUGUUACUAUCCCCACAGUGGAGAUAAGGAAACACAGGUUCAGGGUAAGUUGCCUCAAACCCACAGUUCGUAAGUGGCAGAGAUAACCUUGGAGCCCAGGUAUAUCUGCCUCUAACCCCACCGUGUUCCCAUCCGGCCUGGAACCUCACCCAAACACACUGG